rnacentral:tRNA from 1 species
GCCCGGUUGGCUAAGUGGUAUAGCGUCUCACUAGUAAUGAGAAGAUCAUGAGUUCGAUUCUCAUACUGGGCU